rnacentral:rRNA from 1 species
UACGUAGGUGGCAAGCGUUGUUCGGAAUUAUUGGGCGUAAAGCGUGCGCAGGCGGUUUUGUAAGCCAGAUGUGAAAUCCCCGGGCUCAACCUGGGAAUGGCAUUUGGGACUGCAAGGCUGGAGUGUGGCAGAGGAGACUGGAAUUCCUGGUGUAGCAGUGAAAUGCGUAGAUAUCAGGAGGAACACCGGGGGCGAAGGCGGGUCUCUGGGCCGAUACUGACGCUGAGGAGCGAAAGCGUGGGGAGCGAACAGG